rnacentral:rRNA from 1 species
AGAGUUUGAUCCUGGCUCAGGAUGAACGCUGGCGGCGUGCUUGACACAUGCAAGUCGAACGAUGAAGACCGUGCUUGCACGGUUGGAUUAGUGGCGAACGGGUGAGUAUCACGUGAGUAACCUUCCCUUAACUCUGGGAUAAGCCCGGGAAACUGGGUCUAAUACCGGAUACGACCAGUCCUCGCAUGGGGUGCUGGUGGAAAGAUUUAUCGGUUUUGGAUGGACUCGCGGCCUAUCAGCUUGUUGGUGAGGUAAAGGCUCACCAAGGCGAUGACGGGUAGCCGGCCUGAGAGGGUGACCGGCCACACUGGGACUGAGACACGGCCCAGACUCCUACGGGAGGCAGCAGUGGGGAAUAUUGCACAAUGGGCGAAAGCCUGAUGCAGCGACGCCGCGUGCGGGAUGACGGCCUUCGGGUUGUAAACCGCUUUCAGCAGGGAAGAAGCGCAAGUGACGGUACCUGCAGAAGAAGCGCCGGCUAACUACGUGCCAGCAGCCGCGGUAAUACGUAGGGCGCGAGCGUUAUCCGGAAUUAUUGGGCGUAAAGAGCUCGUAGGCGGUUUGUCACGUCUGCUGUGAAAGCCCGGGGCUCAACCCCGGGUGUGCAGUGGGUACGGGCAGACUAGAGUGCAGUAGGGGAGACUGGAAUUCCUGGUGUAGCGGUGAAAUGCGCAGAUAUCAGGAGGAACACCGAUGGCGAAGGCAGGUCUCUGGGCUGUUACUGACGCUGAGGAGCGAAAGCAUGGGGAGCGAACAGGAUUAGAUACCCUGGUAGUCCAUGCCGUAAACGUUGGGC